AAGUCGUAACAAGGUUUCCGUAGGUGAACCUGCGGAAGGAUCAUUAAUGUAACCGGACCGGUCCUUUGCCGUAAAACGCACCGGAUUGGAAAGGGAGAUAUCAUACACCCUGUGUUUAUUUACCUUUGUUGCUUUGGCGGGCCGUCCUUUAGGCGUCGGCCCCGGCUGAUCGCGCCCGCCAGAGGACCCAAACUCUUUUAUCAGUGAUGUCUGAGUACUAUAUAAUAGUUAAAACUUUCAACAACGGAUCUCUUGGUUCUGGCAUCGAUGAAGAACGCAGCGAAAUGCGAUAAGUAAUGUGAAUUGCAGAAUUCAGUGAAUCAUCGAAUCUUUGAACGCACAUUGCGCCCCUUGGUAUUCCGAGGGGCAUGCCUGUUCGAGCGUCAUUAUGACCACUCAAGCCUAGCUUGGUAUUGGGGUUCGCGGUCCCGCGGCCCUUAAAAUCAGUGGCGGUGCCAUCUGGCUCUAAGCGUAGUAAUUUAUCUCGCUAUUGGGUCCGGUGGUUGCUUGCCAACAACCCCUAACUUUUAAGGUUGACCUCGGAUCAGGUAGGGAUACCCGCUGAACUUAA
rnacentral:rRNA from 1 species